rnacentral:rRNA from 1 species
UACGGGAGGCAGCAGUGGGGAAUAUUGCACAAUGGGCGCAAGCCUGAUGCAGCCAUGCCGCGUGUAUGGAAGAAGGCCUUCGGGUUGUAAAGUACUUUCAGCGGGGAGGAAGGUGUUGUGGUUAAUAACCGCAGCAAUUGACGUUACCCGCAGAAGAAGCACCGGCUAACUCCGUGCCAGCAGCCGCGGUAAUACGGAGGGUGCAAGCGUUAAUCGGAAUUACUGGGCGUAAAGCGCACGCAGGCGGUCUGUCAAGUCGGAUGUGAAAUCCCCGGGCUCAACCUGGGAACUGCAUUCGAAACUGGCAGGCUUGAGUCUUGUAGAGGGGGGUAGAAAUUCCAGGUGUAGCGGUGAAAUGCGUAGAGAUCUGGAGGAAUACCGGUGGCGAAGGCGGCCCCCUGGACAAAGACUGACGCUCAGGUGCGAAAGCGUGGGGAGCAAACAGGAUUAUAUACCCUGGUAGUCCACGCCCU